rnacentral:rRNA from 2 species
AGAGUUUGAUCAUGGCUCAGAUUGAACGCUGGCGGCAGGCCUAACACAUGCAAGUCGAGCGGUAGCACAGAGAGCUUGCUCUCGGGUGACGAGCGGCGGACGGGUGAGUAAUGUCUGGGAAACUGCCUGAUGGAGGGGGAUAACUACUGGAAACGGUAGCUAAUACCGCAUAACGUCGCAAGACCAAAGUGGGGGACCUUCGGGCCUCAUGCCAUCAGAUGUGCCCAGAUGGGAUUAGCUAGUAGGUGGGGUAACGGCUCACCUAGGCGACGAUCCCUAGCUGGUCUGAGAGGAUGACCAGCCACACUGGAACUGAGACACGGUCCAGACUCCUACGGGAGGCAGCAGUGGGGAAUAUUGCACAAUGGGCGCAAGCCUGAUGCAGCCAUGCCGCGUGUGUGAAGAAGGCCUUCGGGUUGUAAAGCACUUUCAGCGGGGAGGAAGGCGAUAAGGUUAAUAACCUCAUCGAUUGACGUUACCCGCAGAAGAAGCACCGGCUAACUCCGUGCCAGCAGCCGCGGUAAUACGGAGGGUGCAAGCGUUAAUCGGAAUUACUGGGCGUAAAGCGCACGCAGGCGGUCUGUCAAGUCGGAUGUGAAAUCCCCGGGCUUAACCUGGGAACUGCAUUCGAAACUGGCAGGCUAGAGUCUUGUAGAGGGGGGUAGAAUUCCAGGUGUAGCGGUGAAAUGCGUAGAGAUCUGGAGGAAUACCGGUGGCGAAGGCGGCCCCCUGGACAAAGACUGACGCUCAGGUGCGAAAGCGUGGGGAGCAAACAGGAUUAGAUACCCUGGUAGUCCACGCCGUAAACGAUGUCGAUUUGGAGGUUGUGCCCUUGAGGCGUGGCUUCCGGAGCUAACGCGUUAAAUCGACCGCCUGGGGAGUACGGCCGCAAGGUUAAAACUCAAAUGAAUUGACGGGGGCCCGCACAAGCGGUGGAGCAUGUGGUUUAAUUCGAUGCAACGCGAAGAACCUUACCUGGUCUUGACAUCCACAGAACUUUCCAGAGAUGGAUUGGUGCCUUCGGGAACUGUGAGACAGGUGCUGCAUGGCUGUCGUCAGCUCGUGUUGUGAAAUGUUGGGUUAAGUCCCGCAACGAGCGCAACCCUUAUCCUUUGUUGCCAGCGGUCCGGCCGGGAACUCAAAGGAGACUGCCAGUGAUAAACUGGAGGAAGGUGGGGAUGACGUCAAGUCAUCAUGGCCCUUACGACCAGGGCUACACACGUGCUACAAUGGCAUAUACAAAGAGAAGCGACCUCGCGAGAGCAAGCGGACCUCAUAAAGUAUGUCGUAGUCCGGAUUGGAGUCUGCAACUCGACUCCAUGAAGUCGGAAUCGCUAGUAAUCGUAGAUCAGAAUGCUACGGUGAAUACGUUCCCGGGCCUUGUACACACCGCCCGUCACACCAUGGGAGUGGGUUGCAAAAGAAGUAGGUAGCUUAACCUUCGGGAGGGCGCUUACCACUUUGUGAUUCAUGACUGGGGUGAAGUCGUAACAAGGUAACCGUAGGGGAACCUGCGGUUGGAUCACCU